UACGUAGGGGGCAAGCGUUGUCCGGAAUCAUUGGGCGUAAAGCGCGCGUAGGCGGCCAGAUAAGUCCGGUGUGAAAGUCACAGGCUCAACCUGUGAAUGCCGCUGGAAACUGUCUGGCUUGAGUCCGGAAGGGGCGAGUGGAAUUCCUGGUGUAGCGGUGAAAUGCGCAGAUAUCAGGAGGAACACCAAUGGCGAAGGCAGCUCGCUGGAACGGUACUGACGCUGAGGUGCGAAAGCGUGGGGAGCAAACAGG
rnacentral:rRNA from 1 species